UGUUCUGCCAAGUCUCUGGGUGUUCAGGAC
rnacentral:piRNA from 1 species